AGGACAUGGAACGACAAAAGGUGAAGGAGCCACAGCUACCUCUGGGCCAGUCUCUGGAAAGACUCUGGAGCCUGGGAAUGACAACACCGAGGCCACAAGUUCCACAGGAGGGGGCAGGACCACUGGAUCAAGAGCUCCAGGAGGU